AGCUUGGUGCAGUGGCAGUAUCAUAGCCAAUGAGGUUUAUCUGAAGCACGAUUAUUACUAAUUGAAAACAGAAUGUGUAUAAAUAACAAGUCAGUUAUUACUCCAGGAAGAUCUCCCAAGAA
rnacentral:snRNA from 1 species